AUAAUGGGUCAGCGACUUAUAUUCUGUAGCAAGGUUAACCGAAUAGGGGAGCCGAAGGGAAACCGAGUCUUAACUGGGCGUUAAGUUGCAGGGUAUAGACCCGAAACCCGGUGAUCUAGCCAUGGGCAGGUUGAAGGUUGGGUAACACUAACUGGAGGACCGAACCGACUAAUGUUGAAAAAUUAGCGGAUGACUUGUGGCUGGGGGUGAAAGGCCAAUCAAACCGGGAGAUAGCUGGUUCUCCCCGAAAGCUAUUUAGGUAGCGCCUCGUGAAUUCAUCUCCGGGGGUAGAGCACUGUUUCGGCAAGGGGGUCAUCCCGACUUACCAACCCGAUGCAAACUGCGAAUACCGGAGAAUGUUAUCACGGGAGACACACGGCGGGUGCUAACGUCCGUCGUGAAGAGGGAAACAACCCAGACCGCCAGCUAAGGUCCCAAAGUCAUGGUUAAGUGGGAAACGAUGUGGGAAGGCCCAGACAGCCAGGAUGUUGGCUUAGAAGCAGCCAUCAUUUAAAGAAAGCGUAAUAGCUCACUGGUCGAGUCGGCCUGCGCGGAAGAUGUAACGGGGCUAAACCAUGCACCGAAGCUGCGGCAGCGACGCUUAUGCGUUGUUGGGUAGGGGAGCGUUCUGUAAGCCUGCGAAGGUGUGCUGUGAGGCAUGCUGGAGGUAUCAGAAGUGCGAAUGCUGACAUAAGUAACGAUAAAGCGGGUGAAAAGCCCGCUCGCCGGAAGACCAAGGGUUCCUGUCCAACGUUAAUCGGGGCAGGGUGAGUCGACCCCUAAGGCGAGGCCGAAAGGCGUAGUCGAUGGGAAACAGGUUAAUAUUCCUGUACUUGGUGUUACUGCGAAGGGGGGACGGAGAAGGCUAUGUUGGCCGGGCGACGGUUGUCCCGGUUUAAGCGUGUAGGCUGGUUUUCCAGGCAAAUCCGGAAAAUCAAGGCUGAGGCGUGAUGACGAGGCACUACGGUGCUGAAGCAACAAAUGCCCUGCUUCCAGGAAAAGCCUCUAAGCAUCAGGUAACAUCAAAUCGUACCCCAAACCGACACAGGUGGUCAGGUAGAGAAUACCAAGGCGCUUGAGAGAACUCGGGUGAAGGAACUAGGCAAAAUGGUGCCGUAACUUCGGGAGAAGGCACGCUGAUAUGUAGGUGAAGUCCCUCGCGGAUGGAGCUGAAAUCAGUCGAAGAUACCAGCUGGCUGCAACUGUUUAUUAAAAACACAGCACUGUGCAAACACGAAAGUGGACGUAUACGGUGUGACGCCUGCCCGGUGCCGGAAGGUUAAUUGAUGGGGUUAGCGCAAGCGAAGCUCUUGAUCGAAGCCCCGGUAAACGGCGGCCGUAACUAUAACGGUCCUAAGGUAGCGAAAUUCCUUGUCGGGUAAGUUCCGACCUGCACGAAUGGCGUAAUGAUGGCCAGGCUGUCUCCACCCGAGACUCAGUGAAAUUGAACUCGCUGUGAAGAUGCAGUGUACCCGCGGCAAGACGGAAAGACCCCGUGAACCUUUACUAUAGCUUGACACUGAACAUUGAGCCUUGAUGUGUAGGAUAGGUGG
rnacentral:rRNA from 1 species